rnacentral:rRNA from 1 species
UACGGGGGGAGCUAGCGUUGUUCGGAAAUACUGGGCGUAAAGCGCACGUAGGCGGCGCAGCAAGUCAGGGGUGAAAUCCCGGGGCUCAACCCCGGAACUGCCUUUGAUACUGGUAGUCUUGAGUUCGAGAGAGGUGAGUGGAAUUCCGAGUGUAGAGGUGAAAUUCGUAGAUAUUCGGAGGAACACCAGUGGCGAAGGCGGCUCACUGGCUCGAUACUGACGCUGAGGUGCGAAAGCGUGGGGAGCAAACAGG